rnacentral:tRNA from 1 species
GCGCUCAUAGCUCAGCUGGAUAGAGCACUUGGCUACGAACUAAGGGGUCG